rnacentral:rRNA from 1 species
GGGAUCGCCCUUAGAGUUUGAUCCUGGCUCAGGACGAACGCUGGCGGCGUGCCUAAUACAUGCAAGUCGAGCGGACAGAAGGGAGCUUGCUCCCGGAUGUUAGCGGCGGACGGGUGAGUAACACGUGGGCAACCUGCCUGUAAGACUGGGAUAACUCCGGGAAACCGGAGCUAAUACCGGAUAGUUCCUUGAACCGCAUGGUUCAAGGAUGAAAGACGGUUUCGGCUGUCACUUACAGAUGGACCCGCGGCGCAUUAGCUAGUUGGUGGGGUAAUGGCUCACCAAGGCGACGAUGCGUAGCCGACCUGAGAGGGUGAUCGGCCACACUGGGACUGAGACACGGCCCAGACUCCUACGGGAGGCAGCAGUAGGGAAUCUUCCGCAAUGGACGAAAGUCUGACGGAGCAACGCCGCGUGAGUGAUGAAGGUUUUCGGAUCGUAAAGCUCUGUUGUUAGGGAAGAACAAGUGCGAGAGUAACUGCUCGCACCUUGACGGUACCUAACCAGAAAGCCACGGCUAACUACGUGCCAGCAGCCGCGGUAAUACGUAGGUGGCAAGCGUUGUCCGGAAUUAUUGGGCGUAAAGGGCUCGCAGGCGGUUUCUUAAGUCUGAUGUGAAAGCCCCCGGCUCAACCGGGGAGGGUCAUUGGAAACUGGGAAACUUGAGUGCAGAAGAGGAGAGUGGAAUUCCACGUGUAGCGGUGAAAUGCGUAGAGAUGUGGAGGAACACCAGUGGCGAAGGCGACUCUCUGGUCUGUAACUGACGCUGAGGAGCGAAAGCGUGGGGAGCGAACAGGAUUAGAUACCCUGGUAGUCCACGCCGUAAACGAUGAGUGCUAAGUGUUAGGGGGUUUCCGCCCCUUAGUGCUGCAGCUAACGCAUUAAGCACUCCGCCUGGGGAGUACGGUCGCAAGACUGAAACUCAAAGGAAUUGACGGGGGCCCGCACAAGCGGUGGAGCAUGUGGUUUAAUUCGAAGCAACGUGAAGAACCUUACCAGGUCUUGACAUCCUCUGACAACCCUAGAGAUAGGGCUUUCCCUUCGGGGGCAGAGUGACAGGUGGUGCAUGGUUGUCGUCAGCUCGUGUCGUGAGAUGUUGGGUUAAGUCCCGCAACGAGCGCAACCCUUGAUCUUAGUUGCCAGCAUUCAGUUGGGCACUCUAAGGUGACUGCCGGUGACAAACCGGAGGAAGGUGGGGAUGACGUCAAAUCAUCAUGCCCCUUAUGACCUGGGCUACACACGUGCUACAAUGGACAGAACAAAGGGCUGCGAGACCGCAAGGUUUAGCCAAUCCCAUAAAUCUGUUCUCAGUUCGGAUCGCAGUCUGCAACUCGACUGCGUGAAGCUGGAAUCGCUAGUAAUCGCGGAUCAGCAUGCCGCGGUGAAUACGUUCCCGGGCCUUGUACACACCGCCCGUCACACCACGAGAGUUUGCAACACCCGAAGUCGGUGAGGUAACCUUUAUGGAGCCAGCCGCCGAAGGUGGGGCAGAUGAUUGGGGUGAAGUCGUAACAAGGUAGCCGUAAAGGGCGAUCC